CAAUAGCGUAUAUUAAAGUUGUUGCAGUUAAAAAGCUCGUAGUUGAAUUUCUGGCGGGCGCGCCGGUCUUCCAAGUGUUGUACUGGGCGCAGUCCGCCAUCCUUGUGGAGAGGGCUCGCAUUGAGUUGCGUGUCGGAUCUGCAUCAUUUACUGUGAAAAAAUUAGAGUGUUUAAAGCAGGCUGUCGCUUGAAUACAUUAGCAUGGAAUAAUAAGAUAGGACUUCGGUCUAUUUUGUUGGUUGCGAACCGAGGUAAUGAUUAAUAGGGAUAGUUGGGGGUAUUCAUAUUUAAUUGUCAGAGGUGAAAUCCUUGGAUUUAUGAAAGAUGAACAACUGCGAAAGCAUUUACCAAGGAUGUUUUCAUUAA
rnacentral:rRNA from 1 species